rnacentral:rRNA from 1 species
UACGAAGGGGGCUAGCGUUGCUCGGAAUCACUGGGCGUAAAGCGCACGUAGGCGGAUUGCUAAGUCAGGGGUGAAAUCCUGGAGCUCAACUCCAGAACUGCCUUUGAUACUGGCGAUCUUGAGUCCGGGAGAGGUGAGUGGAACUGCGAGUGUAGAGGUGAAAUUCGUAGAUAUUGGGAGGAACACCAGUGGCGAAGGCGGCUCACUGGACCGGUUCUGACGCUCAUGUGCGAAAGCGUGGGGAGCAACAGG